AAAACAAAGGUGCCCUUGCCAAUAUUUUGUUUCCUUUUGACAAGCCCUGAGAUUUCUGAGGGGAAUCCACUGCAAAUGGAAUCAGGUCAUUCAUUUAUGCUGCGUACAAAUACAAUUUAAAGAUACAACUCC
ensembl:misc_RNA predicted gene, 27330